CAUUAAGACACAUACAUUCUCUCUCUCUAAUCUCUCAUUCUCUCCAAUCUCUACAUUCUCUCUCCAAUCUCUACAUUAUCAAUCUCUCUCAAUUCCUACUCUAAGUUCUCGAUGGCUUCCAAAUUACCAAAUAAAUUCCAAAAUUUCAAUCAUCAAGACUCGGCUGUUUCCAGAUCUCCAGGAUCAGUCCCAAGUUUUGCAGUUUCGACUACUUCCAAGAUUCAAAAUCAAGAAGGUCCGGGCGACAGAAAGUGAAGCCGAAGGAGAAGCGACUCCACGCCAGCUUUAAGAACGUUUAAGGUUGAGCAGGCGAUGGAAUGGUUUGGUGUUGAGCGGGAAUUCUUUUGAUGGAUACGUAAUGAAACCUUGAGUAUGCAUCUCCAUAUGCAUAACUCACACGUUUUUCCGCUGCAAACACUCUGAAUUUGUUAUCGUAUUAUGGAACUUAUUACUCUUUCACUUUGUUUAACUUUCCCUUGGGCCUGGUCGUUAUGGCAUAAUCGUUUGUAAAAUAUCCAAGCAGUUGUUUAUAUAUCACUAGUUGUUGUUAUUAA